rnacentral:misc_RNA from 1 species
GAACGCACAUUGCGCCUGGCAGUAUUCUGCCAGGCAUGCCUGUCCGAGCGUCAUUUCACCACUCAAGCUCUGCUUGGUGUUGGAGGACCCGCGUUUAGUCGCGGGCCGCCGAAAUGCAUCGGCUGUUGUAUAUACAGCUUCCCUGUGUAGUAAAUGCUUAGCUUUACACUUUGAAACUUUUAUAUGACAUGCCGGAAAACCCUCAACUUUUGAAAGGUUGACCUCGGAUCAGGUAGGAAUACCCGCUGAACUUAAG